rnacentral:rRNA from 1 species
AUUGAACGCUGGCGGCAUGCCUUACACAUGCAAGUCGAACGGUAACAGGGAGCUUGCUCCGCUGACGAGUGGCGAACGGGUGAGUAAUGUAUCGGAACGUACCAUUCAGUGGGGGAUAACGUAGCGAAAGUUACGCUAAUACCGCAUAUUCUGUGAGCAGGAAAGCAGGGGAUCGCAAGACCUUGCGCUGAUUGAGCGGCCGAUAUCAGAUUAGCUAGUUGGUGAGGUAAAGGCUCACCAAGGCGACGAUCUGUAGCGGGUCUGAGAGGAUGAUCCGCCACACUGGAACUGAGACACGGUCCAGACUCCUACGGGAGGCAGCAGUGGGGAAUUUUGGACAAUGGGGGCAACCCUGAUCCAGCCAUGCCGCGUGAGUGAAGAAGGCCUUCGGGUUGUAAAGACUCUUUUGUUGGGUAAGGAAAAGCAGUUGGUUAAUACCGAUUGUUCUGAGGUACCCAAAGAAUAAGCACCGGCUAACUUCGUG